rnacentral:rRNA from 1 species
UCUGGAGACAGGUGCUGCAUGGCUGUCGUCAGCUCGUGUCGUGAGAUGUUGGGUUAAGUCCGCACGAGCGCAACCUUGCCUUAGUUGCCAGCAGUUCGGCUGGGCACUCUAAAGGGACUGCCGGUGUUAAACCGGAGGAAGGUGGGGAUGACGUCAAGUCCUCAUGGCCUUUAUGACCAGGGCUACACACGUACUACAAUGGCCGAUACAAAGGGCAGCGACACUGCGAGGUGAAGCCAAUCCCGUAAAAUCGGUCUCAGUCCGGAUUGGAGUCUGCAACUCGACUCCAUGAAGUUGGAAUCGCUAGUAAUCGUGGAUCAGCAUGCCACGGUGAAUACGUUCCCGGGCCUU